rnacentral:rRNA from 1 species
GAAAAGAUUGUGACUAAUAAUUGCAAUUCAUGACGGUAUCAACAGAAGAAGCACCGGCUAACUACGUGCCAGCAGCCGCGGUAAUACGUAGGGUGCGAGCGUUAAUCGGAAUUACUGGGCGUAAAGGGUGCGCAGGCGGUUCUGUAAGUCAGAUGUGAAAUCCCCGGGCUUAACCUGGGAACUGCGUUUGAAACUACAGAGCUAGAGUGUGGCAGAGGGGGGUGGAAUUCCAUGUGUAGCAGUGAAAUGCGUAGAGAUAUGGAAGAACAUCGAUGGCGAAGGCAGCCCCCUGGGUCAACACUGACGCUCAUGCACGAAAGCGUGGGGAGCAAACAGGAUUAGAUACCCUGGUAGUCCACGCCCUAAACUAUGUCAACUAGUUGUCGGGCCUUAUUAGGUUUGGUAACGUAGCUAACGCGUGAAGUUGACCGCCUGGGGAGUACGGUCGCAAGAUUAAAAACUCAAAGGAAUUGACGGGGACCCGCACAAGC